CCUACGGGUGGCAGCAGUGAGGAAUAUUGGUCAAUGGACGAGAGUCUGAACCAGCCAAGUAGCGUGAAGGAUGACUGCCCUAUGGGUUGUAAACUUCUUUUAUAUGGGAAUAAAAUGUUCCACGUGUGGGAUUUUGUAUGUACCAUAUGAAUAAGGAUCGGCUAACUCCGUGCCAGCAGCCGCGGUAAUACGGAGGAUCCGAGCGUUAUCCGGAUUUAUUGGGUUUAAAGGGAGCGUAGGUGGAUUGUUAAGUCAGUUGUGAAAGUUUGCGGCUCAACCGUAAAAUUGCAGUUGAAACUGGCAGUCUUGAGUACAGUAGAGGUGUGCGGAAUGCGUGGUGUAGCGGUGAAAUGCUUAGAUAUCACGAAGAACUCCGAUUGCGAAGGCAGUUCACUGGACUGCAACUGACACUGAGGCUCGAAAGUGUGGGUAUCAAACAGGAUUAGAUACCCCAGUAGUC
rnacentral:rRNA from 1 species